CCGUAGCCCACCUUUGGCCUCUCCUCCCCCCGACCUGCCUCCAGAUCCCGUACAACCUCACAGUGCUGUGGCAGGGCUGGCUUCUGCAGCUGACUUGGAUUUCUUCUGCCACUGUCCCGUGAAGGAGUUGAUUUGCUUCAGUCCAUCCCUGCUCCAUUCCUGGCUCGGGUAUCCAUCAAGGCCACGCAGCACUGCAGCAGCCAAGCUCCGGUCUCAGUGGGAUCAGUUUGUUCUGUUCUCAUCCACUUACAGAAACAGAAGCUACCAACCCACCAAACCCUGGGACAGAUAUCCCUUACACCCUCAGCCCCCCCCCCUGCUUCUCGGACUCCCACAGUUUCUGAGAGGACCGCCAUCACCAUCCCAGGAUCCCCAUAUCCCACCGACGAGGAACCCCACAGCAAUCCACAUCUCAGGAUGGGGCUUCAGCUGUGCCCCGAUGCGUUCAUUCAAGAGAGGAGAAUGAAUGAGCGUAAGGGGGCGCCUUUCCUCCUGACAUUGCCCACCGCCUGCGUGUUGGCUGUGCCGUGCCAGCAGCAUUUUGUCCUCGAGCUGUGAGUGCAGGUAUGCGUGCAUACGGGGGUGUGCAGAGAUGGUGCUGAACAUCAGAGCAUGCAUUGCACGUGGCUGUGUGCACGGUGCUUGCAGGUGAAAGUUUUGCAUCUGUGUGCAUGCACAUGGCAGUGUGCAAGGCUGGAGCAGUGGUUGAG
ensembl:lncRNA